rnacentral:tRNA from 1 species
GUCGGUGUGGUGUAAUGGUAACAUGAUGGUCUCCAAAACCAUUGCUUAGGGUUCGAUUCCCUAUACCGGCGCCA